AUACUUACCUGGCAGGGGAGAUACCAUGAUCAUGAAGGUAGUUUUCCCAGGGCCAGGCUUAUCCGUUGCACUCCAGAUGUGCUGACCCCUGUGAUUUCCCCAAAUGUGAAAAACUCAACUGCAUAAUUUGUGGUAGUGGGGGACUGCAUUUGCACUCUCCUC
rnacentral:snRNA from 1 species